CAUGUUUGUACUUCACUAAGAAAGUGUAAUCCCAAAUAUAGCAUAUGUUACAUCUGACCAUUUCUAAAAAGCAGUGUGUGUAGUCAUAGCUUUCGGACGAGCCCAUU